CGGAGGGUGCAAGCGUUAUCCGGAUUCACUGGGUUUAAAGGGUGCGUAGGAGGGCAGGUAAGUCAGUGGUGAAAUCUCCAAGCUUAACUUGGAAACUGCCGUUGAUACUAUCUGUCUUGAAUACCGUGGAGAUGAGCGGAAUAUGUCAUGUAGCGGUGGAAUGCUUAGAUAUGACAUAGAACACCAAUUGCGAAGGCAGCUCGUUACACGAAUAUUGACUCUGAGGCACGAAAGCGUGGGGAUCAAACAGGAUUAGAUACCCUGGUAGUCCACGCCCUAAACGAUGGAUACUCGACAUACGCGAUACACAGUGUGUGUCUGAGCGAAAGCAUUAAGUAUCCCACCUGGGAAGUACGACCGCAAGGUUG
rnacentral:rRNA from 1 species